CCUACGGGUGGCAGCAGUGGGGAAUAUUGCACAAUGGGCGCAAGCCUGAUGCAGCCAUGCCGCGUGUGUGAAGAAGGCCUUCGGGUUGUAAAGCACUUUCAGCGGGGAGGAAGGCGGUGAGGUUAAUAACCUCAUCGAUUGACGUUACCCGCAGAAGAAGCACCGGCUAACUCCGUGCCAGCAGCCGCGGUAAUACGGAGGGUGCAAGCGUUAAUCGGAAUUACUGGGCGUAAAGCGCACGCAGGCGGUCUGUCAAGUCGGAUGUGAAAUCCCCGGGCUCAACCUGGGAACUGCAUUCGAAACUGGCAGGCUAGAGUCUUGUAGAGGGGGGUAGAAUUCCAGGUGUAGCGGUGAAAUGCGUAGAGAUCUGGAGGAAUACCGGUGGCGAAGGCGGCCCCCUGGACAAAGACUGACGCUCAGGUGCGAAAGCGUGGGAGCAAACAGGAUUAGAUACCCUUGUAGUC
rnacentral:rRNA from 1 species